rnacentral:rRNA from 1 species
UACGAAGGGGGCUAGCGUUUUUCGGAAUUACUGGGCGUAAAGCGCCCGUAGGCGGGUUGUUAAGUCCGGGGUGAAAUCCUGGAGCUCAACUCCAGAACUGCCUUUGAUACUGGCAACCUAGAGACUGGAAGAGGUUAGUGGAAUUCCCAGUGUAGAGGUGAAAUUCGUAGAUAUUGGGAAGAACACCAGUGGCGAAGGCGGCUAACUGGUCCAGCACUGACGCUGAGGUGCGAAAGCGUGGGGAGCAAACAGG